UAAUGGGCGAAAGCCUGAACUAGCAACGCCGCGUGUGCGAAGAAGGCCUUCGGGUUGUAAAGCACUUUUUGAGAGGAUGAGGAAGGACGGUACUCUCAGAAUAAGUCUCGGCUAACUACGUGCCAGCAGCCGCGGUAACACGUAGGAGGCGAACGUUAUCCGGAUUUACUGGGCGUAAAGCGCGUGUCAGUGGGUUGGUAAGACAGGCGUGAAAGGUGCUGGCUCAACUGGGAUUAUCCGUUCUAAAAGGCCGAACUAGAGGAUGGUAGAGGGAGGUGGAAUUCCGGGUGUAGCGGUGGAAUGGGCAGAUAUCCGGAGGAACAGUAGUGUGGAAAGCGGCCUCCUGGAGUAGUCGUGACACUCAGACGCGAAAGCUAGGGUAGCAAACGG
rnacentral:rRNA from 1 species